UUUAACUGAAGAGUUUGAUCAUGGCUCAGAUUGAACGCUGGCGGCAGGCUUAACACAUGCAAGUCGAGCGGGGGAAGGUAGCUUGCUACUGGACCUAGCGGCGGACGGGUGAGUAAUGCUUAGGAAGAUCCAGCCAUGCCGCGUGUGUGAAGAAGGCCUUAUGGUUGUAAAGCACUUUAAGCGAGGAGGAGGCUACUUUAGUUAAUACCUAGAGAUAGUGGACGUUACUCGCAGAAUAAGCACCGGCUAACUCUGUGCCAGCAGCCGCGGUAAUACAGAGGGUGCGAGCGUUAAUCGGAUUUACUGGGCGUAAAGCGUGCGUAGGCGGCUUAUUAAGUCGGAUGUGAAAUCCCCGAGCUUAACUUGGGAAUUGCAUUCGAUACUGGUGAGCUAGAGUAUGGGAGAGGAUGGUAGAAUUCCAGGUGUAGCGGUGAAAUGCGUAGAGAUCUGGAGGAAUACCGAUGGCGAAGGCAGCCAUCUGGCCUAAUACUGACGCUGAGGUACGAAAGCAUGGGGAGCAAACAGGAUUAGAUACCCUGGUAGUCCAUGCCGUAAACGAUGUCUACUAGCCGUUGGGGCCUUUGAGGCUUUAGUGGCGCAGCUAACGCGAUAAGUAGACCGCCUGGGGAGUACGGUCGCAAGACUAAAACUCAAAUGAAUUGACGGGGGCCCGCACAAGCGGUGGAGCAUGUGGUUUAAUUCGAUGCAACGCGAAGAACCUUACCUGGCCUUGACAUACUAGAAACUUUCCAGAGAUGGAUUGGUGCCUUCGGGAAUCUAGAUACAGGUGCUGCAUGGCUGUCGUCAGCUCGUGUCGUGAGAUGUUGGGUUAAGUCCCGCAACGAGCGCAACCCUUUUCCUUACUUGCCAGCAUUUCGGAUGGGAACUUUAAGGAUACUGCCAGUGACAAACUGGAGGAAGGCGGGGACGACGUCAAGUCAUCAUGGCCCUUACGGCCAGGGCUACACACGUGCUACAAUGGUCGGUACAAAGGGUUGCUACACAGCGAUGUGAUGCUAAUCUCAAAAAGCCGAUCGUAGUCCGGAUUGAGUCUGCAACUCGACUCCAUGAAGUCGGAAUCGCUAGUAAUCGCGGAUCAGAAUGCCGCGGUGAAUACGUUCCGGGCCUUGUACACACCGCCCGUCACACCAUGGGAGUUUUUUUGUUGCACCAGAAGUAGCUAGGGGAACCUGCGGCUGGCCUUAACUGCAAAAGUUGUUCUUCAUAGAUGUAUUCGAGGGGCGGUUACCACGGUGUGGGGCCAAGAUGACUGGGGGUGAAGUCGAUAACAAGAUGUAGCCGUAGGG
rnacentral:rRNA from 1 species